rnacentral:rRNA from 1 species
AGAUUAGCCAUGCAUGUGUAAGUAUAAGCGACUUUAUACUGUGAAACUGCGAACGGCUCAUUAUAUCAGUUAUAGUUUAUUUGAUAAAUAUCUUACUACUUGGAUAACCGUAGUAAUUCUAGAGCUAAUACAUGCACCAAGUCCCGACCUCACGGAAGGGAUGUAUUUAUUAGAUAUCAGCCAUCUCGCUUCGGCGGUUUUUGGUGAGUCAUAAUAACUUUGCGAAUCGCAGGGGCCUAGUGCCGGCGAUGAAUCAUUCAAGUUUCUGCCCUAUCAGCUUUCGAUGGUAGUGUAUUGGACUACCAUGGCGGUGACGGGUAACGGAGAAUUAGGGUUCGAUUCCGGAGAGGGAGCCUGAGAGAUGGCUACCACAUCCAAGGAAGGCAGCAGGCGCGUAAAUUACCCAAUCCCAAUUCGGGGAGGUAGUGACAAUAAAUAUCAAUGCGGGGCCCAACGGGUCUUGCAAUUGGAAUGAGUACAAUUUAAAUCCCUUAACGAGGAUCAAUUGGAGGGCAAGUCUGGUGCCAGCAGCCGCGGUAAUUCCAGCUCCAAUAGCGUAUAUUAAAGUUGUUGCAGUUAAAAAGCUCGUAGUUGGAUUUCUGGGCUGAGCGACCGGUCCGCCGCUGUGCGGUGUGUACUCGUGUUCGACUCGGCUCAUCCUUGUGGGGAAACGCAUUUCGGCAUUAGGUUGUCGAGGCGGGGAACCGCAUCGUUUACUGUGAAAAAAUUAGAGUGUUUAAAGCAGGCAAAUUGCUGUGAAUACAUUAGCAUGGAAUAAUAACAUAGGACUUUGGUUCUAUUUUGUUGGUUGGAGGCCAAGGUAAUGAUUAAUAGGGAUAGUUGGGGGUAUUCAUAUUUAAUUGUCAGAGGUGAAAUUCUUGGAUUUAUGAAAGAUGAACUCAUGCGAAAGCAUUUACCAAGGGAUGUUUUCAUUAAUCAAGAACGAAAGUUAGGGGAUCGAAGAGGAUUAGAUACCCUCGUAGUCUUAACCAUAAACUAUGCCGACUAGGGAUUGGAGGAGUAUUUUUAAUGGCUCCUUCAGCACCUU